rnacentral:rRNA from 1 species
GAUGAACGCUGGCGGCGUGCUUAACACAUGCAAGCCGAACGAAGCAUUUGCGACAGAUUUUUUCGGAAUGAAGUUGCUUAUGACUGAGUGGCGGACGGGUGAGUAACGCGUGGGUAACCUGCCUUGUACUGGGGGAUAGCAGCUGGAAACGGCUGGUAAUACCGCAUAAGCGCACAAUGUUGCAUGACAUGGUGUGAAAAACUCCGGUGGUAUAAGAUGGACCCGCGUCUGAUUAGCUAGUUGGUGAGAUAACAGCCCACCAAGGCGACGAUCAGUAGCCGACCUGAGAGGGUGACCGGCCACAUUGGGACUGAGACACGGCCCAGACUCCUACGGGAGGCAGCAGUGGGGAAUAUUGCACAAUGGAGGAAACUCUGAUGCAGCGACGCCGCGUGAGUGAAGAAGUAAUUCGUUAUGUAAAGCUCUAUCAGCAGGGAAGAUAGUGACGGUACCUGACUAAGAAGCUCCGGCUAAAUACGUG